rnacentral:ribozyme from 1 species
AAUGAAGAUAACUUAAGUAAAAACAGUAAAACACAAAACAGAAAAGACAGGCCCAUAUUCCCUCUCCGCUCCAGCAGCACAUUCUUUCAAUUUGGUCUUUUCCUUCCUCAAUCAACUGGCUUCCUUCUUCCAAUCUUGCAUGGAGGAUGGCGGUGCUGCAAGGGAAGGGAGGAAGACUGUUUGUGAAAAAAGAAAAGAAAAGA